ACUCAAAUAGUUUAAUAAAAAUGUUGAUUUGUGGUAUCAGAGUUGUAUAAUGUACUUUGGGUU
rnacentral:tRNA from 1 species